ensembl:ncRNA H03A11.12 ncRNA
AAAGAGAAUUUGGAAGAAAACGCAAGAAAAAUGAGAGAAAAAGACAGCAAAGUUUGAGGUGGGUGAAUGUGACACUUGGAACGGCGGGAGUGCGAUGGCGGGACCCGAAAAGCAAACAGGGAAGGGCGGCUUCCCUAUACAAAAGC